GAUCAUGACUAAUGCACGGGAUCCCAUCAGAACUCUGUAGUUAAGCGUGCUUGGGUGAGAGUAGUACUAAGAUGGGUGACCUCCUGGGAAGUCCUCAUGUCGCAC